GCCGUCCUAGCCCAAUCUGGUAGAGGCGCCUGGGUCAGGUCCAGGAGGUUCAGGGUUCGAAUCCCUGGGACGGUAC
rnacentral:tRNA from 1 species